rnacentral:rRNA from 1 species
GAACCCGCACAAGCAGCGGAGCGUGUGGUUUAAUUCGAGGCUACGCGAAGAACCUUACCAGGGUUUGACAUGUACGUAGUAGUGAAGCGAAAGCGGAACGACCCUUCGGGGAGCGUACACAGGUGAUGCAUGGCUGUCGUCAGCUCGUGCCGUGAGGUGUUUGGUUAAGUCCACUAACGAGCGCAACCCUUAGAGCCAGUUACAAGUGUCUGGCUCGACUGCCGGUCUUAAGCCGGAGGAAGGUGGGGAUGACGUCAAGUCAGCAUGUCCCUUAUAUCCUGGGCUACACACACGCUACAAUGGUCGGUACAGUAGGGUGCUAAGCCGCGAGGCGGAGCCAAUCCUCAAAAUCGAUCUCAGUUCGGAUCGUAGGCUGCAACUCGCCUACGUGAAGUCGGAGUUGCUAGUAACCGCAGGACAGCUAUACUGCGGUGAAUACGUUCCCGGGUUUU